UACGGAGGAUCCGAGCGUUAUCCGGAUUUAUUGGGUUUAAAGGGUGCGCAGGCGGGAGAUUAAGUCGGCGGUGAAAUUUUGCAGCUCAACUGUAAAAGUGCCUUCGAAACUGGUUUCCUUGAGUGUAGAUGAAGUAGGCGGAAUUUGUGGUGUAGCGGUGAAGUGCAUAGAUAUCACGAGGAACUCCGAUUGCGCAGGCAGCUUACUAAACUACUACUGACGCUCAGGCACGAAGGCGUGGGGAUCAAACAGGAUUAGAUACCCUGGUA
rnacentral:rRNA from 1 species